rnacentral:rRNA from 1 species
CGGGAAACCGGAGCUAAUACCGAUAAUAUAUUGAACCGCAUGGUUCAAUAGUGAAAGACGGUUUUGCUGUCACUUAUAGAUGGAUCCGCGCCGCAUUAGCUAGUUGGUAAGGUAACGGCUUACCAAGGCAACGAUGCGUAGCCGACCUGAGAGGGUGAUCGGCCACACUGGAACUGAGACACGGUCCAGACUCCUACGGGAGGCAGCAGGG